rnacentral:rRNA from 1 species
AGUGAACGCUGGCGGUAGGCCUAACACAUGCCAGUCGAACGGCAGCACAGUAAGAGCUUGCUCUUACGGGUGGCGAGUGGCGGACGGGUGAGGAAUACAUCGGAAUCUACUUUUUCGUGGGGGAUAACGUAGGGAAACUUACGCUAAUACCGCAUACGACCUACGGGUGAAAGCAGGGGAUCUUCGGACCUUGCGCGAUUGAAUGAGCCGAUGUCGGAUUAGCGAGUUGGCGGGGUAAAGGCCCACCAAGGCGACGAUCCGUAGCUGGUCUGAGAGGAUGAUCAGCCACACUGGAACGGAGACACGGUCCAGACUCCUACGGGAGGCAGCAGUGGGGAAUAUUGGACAAUGGGCGCAAGCCUGAUCCAGCCAUACCGCGUGGGUGAAGAAGGCCUUCGGGUUGUAAAGCCCUUUGUUGGGAAAGAAAAGCAGCAGGUUAAUACCCCGCUGUUCUGACGGUACCCAAAGAAUAAGCACCGGCUAACUUCGUG